ACGAACGCUGGCGGCGUGCUUAACACAUGCAAGUCGAACGGAAAGGCCCUGCUAUUGUGGGGUGCUCGAGUGGCGAACGGGUGAGUAACACGUGAGUAACCUGCCCUUGACUUUGGGAUAACUUCAGGAAACUGGGGCUAAUACCGGAUAGGAGCUCCUGCUGCAUGGUGGGGGUUGGAAAGUUUCGGCGGUUGGGGAUGGACUCGCGGCUUAUCAGCUUGUUGGUGGGGUAGUGGCUUACCAAGGCUUUGACGGGUAGCCGGCCUGAGAGGGUGACCGGCCACAUUGGGACUGAGAUACGGCCCAGACUCCUACGGGAGGCAGCAGUGGGGAAUAUUGCACAAUGGGCGGAAGCCUGAUGCAGCAACGCCGCGUGCGGGAUGACGGCCUUCGGGUUGUAAACCGCUUUCGCCUGUGACGAAGCGUGAGUGACGGUAAUGGGUAAAGAAGCACCGGCUAACUACGUG
rnacentral:rRNA from 1 species